GCCUGGAGAGAAUGUUUUCAGGAUGUUGGUUCCUGUGCAAAAGGUUGGUAGUAUCAUUGGGAGAAAGGGAGAGUCCAUUAAGAAAAUCAUUGAGGAGACAAAGGCUCGGAUUAAAAUUCUUGAUGGCCCUCCUGGGAUCUUGGAAAGAGCAGUCAUGGUCUCUGCAAAAGAAGAGCCCGAUGUUUCUAUAUCUCCAGCCGUGGGUGGUUUGCUGAGGGUUCAUAAGCAAGUUAUUGGUUUAGAUGCUACUGCUAGUCAUGCUACUUUAGGCGCCAUCAAGGGCAAAAUUGUCACCAGACUUCUAGUACCUGGUGCUCAAGCAGCAAGCUUGAUUGGGAAGCAAGGCUCCACUAUAAAAUCUAUUCAAGAGGCUUCUGGUUGUAUCAUUCGAGUUCUUGGAGCAGAACACCUGCCAAUUUUUGCUCUGAAAGAUGACAAUAUAGUUGAGAUACAAGGUGAGCCGACAGGUGUGCACAAUGGAGUUGAACUGAUUGCUAGUCAUCUUCGAAAGUUCUUAGUCGACCGCAGUAUUGUUGGAGUGUUUGAAACACAAAUGCAAAUGCCAAUUGUUCGAUCAAACCAGAACAUGCCCCCACAACAAUCUCGGGGCCCUCCUCAAGGUUUUCCAAAAAAUGCUGAUGGUGGAAAUGGUUAUGGGUCCAAUCCCCAAUAUUUGAUGCCUCAUCGUCAAUAUGAUAAUAAUCAUUCAGAUUCUGAUAUACCUCCCUUUGAUAAGCAGCCCCAUCACGGUUCUCCCAUGUAUGGUAGAGAUGCUUUUAUAGGCCAUGCAUCAAAUGCCCAGCCACAAUCAGUGGUUGGAAAGGUCACACACCACAUGCAGAUUCCUCUAUCAUAUGCUAAUGCUGUGAUUGGGGUUUCUGGUGCAAAUAUAAGCUAUAUACGUCGUGCCAGUGGGGCUGCUAUUGCAGUACAGGAAACAAGGGAUGUGCCUAAUGAGAUGACUGUUGAAAUUAAUGGAACUGCUUCACAAAUACAAACAGCUCAGCAGUUGAUACAUAACUUCAUUGCUGAAGCUAAAAGUAACUUGCAGAACCGGGCAGGAGAAUCAAUUGGUCAGGGAUUUAAUGCUUAUCCAGCUUUCUCAGCCAGUGGAUCAGUCAGUCAAGAGUACACUCCUUAUCCGGCUGAAGAUCUGAUAUACACAUUGCAACCAUCUGAAGGUACUGGAUAUGUGAGCCAUGCUCCAACUGAAGACUAUGGUUCAGUGUAUGGCACCAAUUAUGGUUACUAGAAACCAAGGUUCAUUUGAUUCACUUAUGGUAGAAUAUAUCUGUGGUCAUUCACCUGGAAAUCUGAUAUAGUUUUGGUAAUAGAACUCGGAUGUUAUUUGAUAUUUUUUAAAAUCAACUAGUUAUGUUUUGGUUACAUCUAGUUUGGUUUGUGUUGAGCAUUUGCCAGCUGCAUCUCUUGUGUAGUCCUAGUCUAUUGGGAUCCUCUUGUAGUGUUUCUGCAAUGCUAGUCAGCCAUUGAGUCAUUUCCGUUCUAUUAACGAAAUUGCUAAUUGCUCCAGUUUAUCAAUUUGUUAGUGUCUCCG
rnacentral:misc_RNA from 1 species